rnacentral:snoRNA from 1 species
AAGACUAUACUUUCAGGGAUCAUUUCUACAGUAUGUUACAAGAAAAUGAAUUGAUGGUGUAUUGCACCAAAGUAAAAGACUCUGGGGUAGGUGGGGGGAGAGU